GUAGAUGCGAGCGGGGCGGAGGGCUCCUGCCCGGCUGGGGCUGAGGCCUGUCACCUCCACAGCUCCUCAGGGCUUCGUGUUAACGAGGUUCAGUGAUUGUGCUGCGUUAGACCAACAGGAUUUUCUUCAUCAGUGACUUAUGUGUUUUGAUGAGUUUUAUGUGAAAAGGAAUUAAGAUGAAUGAAAUACUUUAUUGGCCAUAGGAGGAUCAUGAUGUGCAAGGUCACAUCUCAGUGGAAUCCUCUUUAGGUACUGUGACUUGUUCUCUCGGGACUGUCCACUUACUGCUUUGAUUUUCUCAUCAGUAGGAACACUGAGAACUUUUAGGCAGUAACACAGAGUCCUUGUCAAUUUGAGCCACGCCAAGAGAGAAGACUGACAAGUUCAAGAAGCUGCAUUUGCUUUUGGUUUCUGUCAAAUUCAAAUACAAACCUAAAUAUACAAAAAUAUCAAAAACAGCGUUCAGCAGGAAAAGACUACAGAAUUGGCUCCUGCUCGUUCCUACUGAACUGUUCUUUUCAUCCUGUUUAAUGGAAGUUGCAGUUUUUACUUUUUGGUGUAGUUAACAACAGAUUAUCUGAAACUUCUUGCUUUGACUCUAGAACAGCAAAGAAAACUGUCGGGGAGGCGCUGCAACAGGAAUAAAAGUGUUCAGAAAGCAUGUGGCAAUUUGGGGGGAGGUAACAGGGAAAUCUUCCUCCUAUUUUUUCCCUGCUGGAAUUCAUAUCGUAACAUUUAGCGUUGGUGUUCAGUUCAAAACUUACUGUGCUGCAAAGGUUGGUGUGUUGACAUGGGCAUGCUUUCCCACAGCUCAAAUAGCAGAGAGUUUAUUUAUAAAGCAAAAUAUAUCUCUGAAAUUAUAAUUGAUACUGUAAUUAUGGAGAACUUGCCAUAAAGAGGAGGCUUAGUGGCCUGUAGGACAUUUUCCUGGCUUAGAAUAGUCAAGAUUUAUACUGCAGCAUUUUCUCUGUAUGAGUCUUAAACAGGAAAUUCCCCCAUCAAGACAGAAAAACUUCAGUAAUUAAGAGGUACUGUGACGGGGAUGAUAAGCCUAAAAUAAUGGUCAACUUUAAAUGUUAUUUAUGGUUGGAACAUCUAAAUGGUAAGCUUUGCUUUACUUCUUGGGGAUCAUUGCUUUUUCUAAAAUAUGUGUUCAGAAGCCAGCUGUGUGGUGCCAGCCUUUCCAUAAACCAGCGUGUGCCAGAUGUGUGUGGGAUCCUGGGGAAGGUGGUUGCAUUGGUUUCUCUGUUUCACUUUGGUAAUGAGCAGAAUGCUUCCAAAGUUGCUGCGUUGUUUUUUCUUCUUUCAAAAGACUGGGAGUGUUGUACCUCAGCUUUGGGAAGGAGGCCGGUUCUGAAUGUGCUUUAUGUUCAUUUGUUACCUAGUGGAAUGGUUGCUUGUUUAUCUCACUUAUAAUUUUUUUUUUCCCCCACUCGUUGUCUGCCUGCACUUCAAGAACACCUAUUGCCUCUAUGCAGUUUAGAGAUAAGAACGCAAAUACGGUCUAAUUUGUAGUGAUUUUGAUCACAGGUUGCUAUGUUUGAGAGUUGUGCCAACUCUCUCUUGACAUGCAUGUAUAAUGAUGUACUUAAUGCUUAGUGGAGCCUGAGGGAUUUGUUAUCCUGUAGUGAAAAAGUGUUAUUUAUUCGCACAGUAAUCUGCAGAGGAGGAUAGCAAUAAAUCUUCUGAUUUUUCUUGA